rnacentral:misc_RNA from 1 species
GAUGAAGAACGCAGUGAAAUGCGAUAAGUAAUGUGAAUUGCAGAAUUCAGUGAAUCAUCGAAUCUUUGAACGCACCUUGCACCCUUUGGCAUUCCGAAGGGUAUGCUCGUUUGAGUGUCAUUGUACUCUCACACUUCCAAUCUUUGGAUUGGGAGCAGUGGACUUGGGUGUUGCUGCUUACUGUGGCUCACCUCAAAUCGAUUCGUGCACCUCUUGGUUGGACAUAGUACGGCGUGAUAAGUGUCUUCGCCGGCACCUCAGUAGAGGGUGGCUGAUCAGGAGCUCUGUGCUUCAAACCGUCCCCGGACAACAACUGACAACUUGACCUCAAAUCGAGUAGGACUACCCGCUGAACUUAAGCAUAUCAAUAAGCGGAGGA